rnacentral:lncRNA from 13 species
UGGGUGUCCACAGCCAGGGGCUUCGUUUUGCCCCACCUGCCUUUAUGUGGAGAUCCUCCAGGGUCCACGCAUUGGCAGCAUCCUGCCACUAGGAAAACUCUGGAAGGAGCAGCCUGGAAGCCGCACUGCUCAUCGGUUUCUACAAAGGUAGUAUGGGCAGCUAUGCAGGAGGAGAAUCAGAGGCAGGGAUGUCCAGAGACUGCCGGCCCUGCCUGUAGGAAUUGAAGUCCUUGUGGCUGGGAGUUUCUAAGCAGAGGCUGGGCUGCUGCUUGUUGGGGAUUUCCUCUUCUUGAGCUUACAUUUUGCAGGGACUAGGAAGAAGGGAGUAGGAGGAGAUGAACGCGGCAAAAGCACAUGACGCCCCGAUUGAUGUCAGGUCCCACGAAAGCACGUGUGAAGAGCAGAGCUACGUUUUCUCAAGAAGUCAUUUUUCCCGUUCCCCAGCAUCACACCAUCAGCAUUGCAGGGGCCACCUGCACCUCGGAUUUUGAUUCUGCUGCUCGCGGGAAACCUGUAGUGUUGCGGCCACUCUGUGGGUGUCUCCUCUCCCUCCCCGCGCUACCCGUCACCCCCCUCCACCUCGGACUCUCGGGCCUGGGCUCUCUGCUGACACACACCGGCAUGGUGCCCUGGCUGGCAUCUGCUCUGCUUGGCUGGUGCCCGCCUUGCCAGGGGAAGUGGUAAUGUAAAUGCCUCCCUUUCCUGGCACCAGCCCCUAGCCUCUCCCUCCCCUUUCUACAGCUGUGUCCUAGUUCUCCACUGCUGCCAGGCGCCUUCUGUGAAAGCCUUCCUCAAGGCAAAGUCCCCCGAGCCCUGGGCCUGGGUUUGCCCUGCUCAUGAGGCUCUUCUGAACAUCCCGGUCACUCCCACGCCAGCCUCCACUUUUCCCUUCUUGCCUCAGUUUCAGUGGCUUCCUUCCUUGGCCCUCGGCUUUGGGCCGACUCCAGCAUUCCCAGCUUGCCUCCAUCUCCCAUGGACGGUUCUAAAGAGCUCCUCAGACACCACGUGAACUCUGCAGGAGUAAGGAAGAUGCCUAACUGAGCCCUACGGCCCCAACCCACUUGGGAGGUGCAAAUACACUGGCUUUUCUCCUUAGCCCUUUCUCCCACCCUUUUCCUCAGGUCCCUUGUGAGGUGGAAGGCUCUCAACCAGUAUCUAUAGCGCAGACUCCCCUAAACAGGGACCUGCUGCUCCUCAGUCUCUCCUGUGAGGCGGGCCACAGCCUCUGCAGGCUCAGGAAGCUCAGCAGGCCCAGCCUCUCCAAGCAGAAGCCACGCAGCUCAGCCCACCUGGGGCUGGCUGUGUCUCUCCUGCCUUCCUCACCCAGGCCAAGGGCAGCAAGGCCAGUAUCUCACACCCCUUUUUCUCCCAUCCUUUUCCUGCACCCCCACUUCCCACCAUGAGGCCCCUACAGUAUCCACCUUGAUACCUCUUGUACUGUCCCACUGCCCAUCAGCCCCAAAUCUCAUAACCUAGGUGGCCUCUGAAUUUACUAAAAUUAUUUCUUACAACGACUGGAGGACUCCCAGUUGCGUGUAACCAUUCUUCUCAGGCUGAGCUACACGG